rnacentral:tRNA from 1 species
GCGGCCGUGGUCAAGCCUGGCAUGAUUUUGGCCUUCCAAGCCAACGUCCCGGGUUCAAAUCCCGGCGGCCGCACCA